AACAAAAGAAGAAGAAGAAACCUCACCCGUGUAUCUGUGUACACCUGCGCACAACUUCCGGUAAAAAAAAAAAAGAGCGGACUGAUAACAGCUUCCACGAGCACAAGAGGCGGGUCGUUAACUGCUACAUCAAAAACCAUGAAUGAAAUACUAAGCUCGAUUGCACACCUGACUAUCCACGCAGAUCUCUACCUGUAUGUUCAGUACAUGUGUGGCAGUGAGGCUGCUGUGCUGGAGCAGAGCGUGAAGCUGGUGGGAGAAGACGAGCGUGUCCAGACAGAGAGAGUCCCUGCAGAACGUUGAGUCCUUGAGAAUUGUAUCUUACCUGGUGAAGGUGAAGAUGGAUGGAGAAGAGGGAGAGGAGGUAGAAAUGAGAGGGGCUCCUUGUUGGUCUGCUGGUCGUGGUCUUGAUGUGAGAUCUCCUCUGUCACAGAACUCGACCUUACAUCCUCACCGGAGUCCACUGUAAC